UGGACUGUGGGACGCGGCAUGUCCUCCGGCUUCAGAUGCUGGGUCAUCGGGGCAUCCCGUACUCUUCGAGCGUUCCGCCCCGCUUCAGAUGAGC
rnacentral:tRNA from 1 species